UCCCUGGUAGUAUAUCGGUUUAGUACACGCGCCUGUCAUUCAACCACAAUCUUCAAUCAUUUGUGCGCGCGAAAGCUGGGUUCGACUCCCAGCCAGGGAG